AGCAGCCGCGGUAAUUCCAGCUCCAAUAGCGUAUAUUAAAGUUGUUGCAGUUAAAAGCUCGUAGUUGAAUUUCGGGAUCAAUUUAUCGGUCGUGCCAAUGGUAUGAACUGGUACAAUUGGUUUCUCCCUUCUGACGAAGCAUGAUGCCAUUAAUUUGGUGUCGUGGGGAAUCAGGACUGUUACUUUGAAAAAUUAGGGUGUUUAAAGCAAGCAUUAGCUUGAAUACAUUAGCAUGGAAUAAUGAAAUAGGACGUUUGAUCCUAUUUCGUUGGCUUCUAGGAUCGACGUAAUGAUUAAUAGGGAUAGUUGGGGGCAUUAGUAUUCAAUUGUCAGAGGUGAAAUUCUUGGAUUUAUUGAAGACUAACUACUGCGAAAGCAUUUGCCAAGGAUGUUUUCAUUAAUCAAGAACGAAAGUUAGGGGAUCGAAGACGAUCAGAUACCGUCGUAGUCUUAACCAUAAACUAUGCCGACUAGGGAUCGGAUGAUGUUAAUUUUUUAAUGUA
rnacentral:misc_RNA from 1 species